rnacentral:misc_RNA from 1 species
AUAUCUUCUUCACACAAUGCAAGAACAUGCACAAUCGCAAGCAAGAAUGUAUGUUUUGCCAGCUGCAGCAGGAUCUAUAUGGAAAGUUCAAGAUAUCUUCACACACAAUGCAAGAACAUAUGGGCAAAACUCACUUCUGGAGCCAAUGGAUUAGAUAUUUUUGAGUUCCAAUUGACAAAGUCAACCCUGCUGGCAAGGCGUGGGGCUCCUCCUCUUGGUUUAUAUUUGCUAGAGUGUCUGUCGUGGAAGGCGGCAACAAGACAGGUGGUGGCUCGCCAAAGGUGGCGCACACGGAAGUG